CCAAAAGAAAAGCUCUACCUUGUAACUUGUCCCAUCUGUGUGCAGCCCUGUUUGGCCAAUAAAGAAACUUAUCUAUCUAUCUAUCUAUCUAUCUAUCUAUCUAUCUAUCUAUCUAUCUAUCUAUCUAUCUAUCUAUCUAUCUAUCUAUCUGUCUGUCCAUCUGUCUGUCUGUCUGUCUGUCUGUCUGUCUGUCUGUCUGUCUAUCUAUCUAUCUAUCUAUCUAUAUAUAUAUAUAUAUAUAUAUAUAUAUAUAUAUAUAUAUAUCAUAAUUAUAUUUUAUAUAUAUUAUAUGUAUGUGUGUGUGUGUGUGAGAGAGAGAGAGAGAGAGAGAGAGAGAGAUUUAUGUAUUUCACAGCAAAUUUUUCUUGGAGGCCAUCUCUGUUUCCCUAUCUCUCUUUUAUACUUCUAUGUAUCUCUCCCUUGAGCACUUUCGUUCCCUUAUGUCAAUUUCAGGUGAGAAGAAUUAGUUUUCUACAUGUAAAGUACAAGGGCAGAUCAGUAGAACCCCGACUUGUUAUUCACCAAUUUGGUGGCAUUAUAAUAAAACUUCAAAUCGGUAUUACAACCCCUUGUACUAAGGUCGCAAACAAAGAGGGAGAAAAAAAAAGGAAUGGAGACAGGCAAAAAAGAGUGAGAAAAGAAGGCAAGGCACAGCAUGCUUUUGGUUUGUAUUUUUCAAUUUAUCCCUAAAGUCCUUCUGGAAAGGCAUAAGAAUCACGCUUUCCGUUAUUGCAUUCCUAUAUACAUAUGUGACCCUUUGUCACUUCUCGUAAUCACACGAUCUGUUAGAAAUAGUAGGUAAAUCACACUCAGAGAUCACACCCAAUCAUCUUAAUUAUGGAAAGGAUGCGCUCGAUAAUGCUUUCCUGAAAUUCUCUAAAAAUGACAGGAUUUUUACGUCUGGAACGCUUUCAUUAAAGUACAUUAAAUCAAUAUUGGAGUUUAGUUAAACAAUAAUGUUAGUUGACUUUCAGUCAGUCAGCUAAUACUCUAAGUCUAUGCCUUAUUUUGAAAAUACUGUAUUAUGUCAAACUAUAUGCACACAAACAUAUAGAGCAGACAUGCGCACGAAUUCUCAUAUCACUACAUGAUAAAUGCGUACAAAUAUCUCUCUCUCUACCUGUCUGUUUGUGUGUGUGUAUGAGUGUGUGUGUGCGUGCGUAUGUGUGUGUGUGAAUGUAUGUGUGUAUAUAUAUAUAUAUAUAUAUAUAUAUAUAAUAUAUGUAUAUAUAUAUAUGUAAAGAGAGAGAGAGAGGUUAUGAGAGGUAAUGGUGUCAAUAAGACCCAACGGUGUCAGGUAAUGCCGAGUAAGUGCUAUGGACAGACUAUAGUUAAGCUCCAGGUUCGGUGAUUAUGCGAAUGAGGAGUCCAACAUAGGUCAAUAUAUCAGCAUGUGUAUAUAUAAAAAAAUUUUUUUUUCAGAAUGAGAUAAAAAUCCAAGAGAAGGUCUUACAGCUGUUUCUGGAAUAUUUUAUAUGACCAUUCUUCGGAGACAGUGUGAGAAAAUGGUUAAUCAAUAGUUAUAUUAGAUACGAUAUGAAAUAGAGACCGUCUCCAAUGAAAGGAUAUAUAAAAUAUCCCGGAAACUGUUGUAAGAUCUAUGUAUAAAUGUUCUUUCACAGCCUUGAAUUUUUAUCUCAUUCUGUAUAUAUAUAUAUAUAUAUAUAUAUAUAUAUAUAUAUAUAUAUAUAUAUAUAUAUAUUUAAUUCCACAAAAAUGUCAGUAAUGCUCAUAUAAGCUUUACUAAUAAUAGCAAAAUUCAAAGUAAAUAUCAACACAUAUUAAACCAAUUUAUGAAAACAAAAACGUAAGCUAUAGAUAGAGCAUUGACAUUCCAUGACUUACAAUUUCAUUUCUAUGACUUGUUGCUGCUUACUACAAAUCGCAGUAACAACGCGCCACUACAAUCACUUCACUUACAACAGUUGUAUUCAACCAUGUUUUGCUUAUAGACGACCCCUUUGAGUCUUCAUUUUACAUGGGUGGAACUUCAUAGGCAUUCAAUAUUUAAAAGGUCGUAUUUAUUAUAGUUUUGUAAUUAAAAUAUUAUUAGGAAAUAUAUAAAGAAAUUAACAUAUUUUGUGUAUUGUAGAAAUAUAACAAGUUUAUUGCAUAUAAAUUUUAACACCAAACCAUUAUAUGGACCUCUAAGUGUCGUAUGGAGUUGGGCAGAGAAACACUGACUUAGAAGAUGAACAGAACUUCAAACAUUAUUGCACAACAUGUUUCUCAUCGUUUCUUCACUCGGCAGAAAUUCAAAUACUCAAAUAUACAUACACAGGCCCAUAUCGAAAUCACAAGUCUCGAUGCAUUAAAUUAAAUCGAAAUAUCAAAUUACGAGACAUCAGAAAAAAAAAAAAAGAAAAGCUUUAAAAUUAAGACAGGCUCAGGAGGGGGCUGUGUGGUAAGUAGCUUGCUUACCAACUACAUGAUUCCGGGUUCAGUCCCAGUGCGUGGCAACUUAGGGCAAGUGUCUUCUACUAUAGCCUCGGGCCGACCA
rnacentral:lncRNA from 1 species